AAACUGCGAAUGGCUCAUUAAAUCAGUUAUCGUUUAUUUGAUAGUACCUUACUACUUGGAUAACCGUGGUAAUUCUAGAGCUAAUACAUGCUUAAAACCCCGACUCACGGAGGGGUGUAUUUAUUAGAUUAAAAACCAAUGCCCUUCGGGGCUUUUUGGUGAUUCAUAAUAACUUCUCGAAUCGCAUGGCCUUGUGCCGGCGAUGGUUCAUUCAAAUUUCUGCCCUAUCAACUUUCGAUGGCAGGGUCUUGGCCUGCCAUGGUUACAACGGGUAACGGAGGGUUAGGGCUCGACCCCGGAGAAGGAGCCUGAGAAACGGCUACUACAUCCAAGGAAGGCAGCAGGCGCGCAAAUUACCCAAUCCCGAUACGGGGAGGUAGUGACAAUAAAUACUGAUACAGGGCUCUUUUGGGUCUUGUAAUUGGAAUGAGUACAAUUUAAAUCCCUUAACGAGGAACAAUUGGAGGGCAAGUCUGGUGCCAGCAGCCGCGGUAAUUCCAGCUCCAAUAGCGUAUAUUAAAGUUGUUGCAGUUAAAAAGCUCGUAGUUGAACCUUGGGCCUGGCUGGCCGGUCCGCCUCAC
rnacentral:rRNA from 1 species